GUGUAAAUAUGCGUAUACGUCAAACUGGUUACUUAAAUAUCUCUAAGUCUAAAAAGUUGUUUCAAUUAUUCCACGAGCCAAAGUCAAAAAAGAAGAAGCAGGUUUAGCUGCUACAUUAAGAACAUAAAACAUGUAUUCUUUUAUUUCCCAAGAGGACCGAGCGAAGGCUAUGCCAAAAGUAAGCUUUCCGAAAACGUAGUCUUCUCACGAUCAAGACCAAUUCUAUGAGAGACGAUCAUCUCUUGUUUUAGAUUAAUCCGCCCCUUUAUCUGUCUUUUUCUUACAAUUAGCUCUGUGUCACGGAUAGAGACUAACAAUAAGAUCAAUGAGGGUAUUCUUUCAAGAUAGGAGAAAAGAAAGAAAGAAAAGGAGAAGCUAUGUUCUCUCUCUUUCUCUCUCUCUCUCUCUCUUUCCAUCUCUUACUAACUAACUCUCCCACUUCUUCCAAAGAAGCCAGGUAAGCUCUUGCGAAACGAGACACAGACAAAUAGCAGGAACGAAAGAGAGAAACAGAGAGAGAGAGAAAGAGAGAGGGAGGGAGAGAGAGAGAGAGAGAGAGAAAGAGAGUAUCUUCGAAGAUUAAACUUUCGAUAUCUACUCGACGUUUUCAGUCGACUCGCAAACGUCGUUCCGAACGUGCACCUGUUUCGAUUAUCUCGUUUACAUUAUUUUACUUCUCUCGCGUGAUACUUCGAAAAUCUGAUUUGUCGUGACGGCGAUUGUAAAGGAAGUAAGUAAGCAAGCAGUACGUAGAGGAAGGAAAAAGAGAAAGUGACGUUUACAUUCGUUGAACGAAUCGAUGAAUAAUACAAGAAAAUAAAAAGAGAAAAAAGAAGAAGAACAAAAAGAAAAUAGAAAGAAGAAGAAGAAGAGAAAAAAGAAACGAAAGAGCGUAGAAUUGACGGAAAGAUCGGAGUUUCUACUACCAGUCGGAGGAAGGAUAUUCGAAAAUGGAUAUCAGGAUAACGUUGUUGUGUUUGUUUCUGUUUUGUGUUGUACCGAGAUCGACCGUCGGUAAAAGUCGUUUUACCAAUCCAGAUCUUUUCUACUUUCCCGACCAAGCGGAUUAUCUAAAACGAGCUAACAAAUGUCCGGAUAACAUGAUUUUGUGGCUAGGAAAUGGUCGUUGUUACAAAGAAGGUGAAAGAGGACCCUGCAAUGUCGGCCGUGUUUUAGUAAUCGACGAAAGAUUAUUUAAACCCUACUGCAAGGAUAUUCUACAAUGAUUUGUCUAUUGCUGCAAAAGAUGGCAGCACUCAAGAAAACCUAACGUUCGAUGGCAUGUUGGAAAAUUGUUUUCAUUGAACUGACUCCAAGAUGACAGCACUAUUUCUGUGAAAAACGUUUUCCCGCGGGAAACUUCGAAUAACGAGCUUCUCUGCGAAUUCGCAGAGUGGCAGCUGUAAGACAAAUUUUCUUUAUACUUCGAGAACUUGCGAUGUGCCAUUAUGUCUUUUAUUCAUCUCUUAAAAUGAAUACGCGAUAAAUUGUUCGUUAAACGCAUACGUUAAAGAAAAUUUGUGUUACUUUUUUUCUUUUCUUUAUUAAAAGUUUUAUUAUAAUUACUAAUGGACCGUCGAGAGGUUUAAUCGUUACUCUCCCGAUUUGAUCGAUUAAAAGCUUAUAGUUAUAUAGAAAAGAAAUAAUACUAUAGAAUAUCGUUAGCUCGCAUAACGAGUUAGAUGGAUAGUAAAGUUUCAGUAUCGUCUCAUUAUGAAAACUUAUGCAUCUGUAUCGCUUUUUGUAUCGUAAUAUACGACAUUUUAAUUACAGAAGUUGCAAAGCAGCUAUAAACGAAGCCGAGCGUUUGUGCCAAGUUCUGUGAAUUAAACCGUACUAAUUUCAUGUAAUUUCAUUCCAGCACGUCACGUCGCGAAAUAAAAUGUCACUUUGUCUUUCUCUUUCGUAAAAAUGUACGCGUGCUCGGCCACGUUUUCGUAUUAUUUCACGCACGUGGCUGUAUUUAAUCGUUUUUAUUUGUGAACGAAACUGAAGAAAAAAGAAUAAACUGAGAUCAAAGUGUUCAUUUUAUUUCACAACGUACAUAUGUAUUAAGAAAAAAAUAUAUCACGUUAUAUAUAUUAAAAAAGGAAUAUCAAAGGAUACGUAUAAAGCAUACAUACAUACAUACAUACAUACAUAUAUAUAUAUAUAUAUAUAUAUAUAUAUAUAUAUAUUAAAAAAAUUGAUAAGAAUAUACGAAGAUAUUUAAAAAAAAUUAAUAAGAAUACGAAGAAGAGAUAUAUAAGCAAUAAUGAUGGACGUCUCUCCGAUCUUAGUUGCGAUCGUAAUUUGCAGAUUGUAAAAAUGUAAUCAAGAAGACGAAAGGUAGCACGUUUAAUUACUACGCUCCGAUAUGGCGUUGGGAAGAAGAAGGGUGAGUCAGAUGAGAAGGAGUGGACGGGGGUGCUCGUUCGUUCUUUCGUUCGUUCGUUCGUUCGUUCGUUCGUAACAAGCCACCCCAUCGGAAAAAAAAGAAAAAAAAAAAAGAUUGAAACAGCUGUCGCUUCCUCGUGAUCUCAUUAUGCUUUAUCGAAGGGUGUUCACCUCUUAGGCGAUGUAAUAUUUCAGAGGUCAAUGUGACAUCGAUUCGCAAUUUGGCAUGGUUCUUGACAACACGAAAAUAAGAGAGUGCUAGAGAGAAAUGAUCUCAAAAGUUACGAAAGCCGACCACGGCAUUCUCGUUCACGAUAUUUCAACACUCUUCUAUCCCUUUCAUCGUGCGUGGCACGAGUUACGUGCUGCGAGUAACAAGCGAGUUCCAAAAUGUUUUCGAUUAACCCCAUUUUAAGAAGAAUCGACAUUUCCUCGUCUUUUCUUUGCCAAUACGAUUCUUAUCUUCACGACCAUUCUCAUUUCAAAAUACGUGUUUCUCUUGAUCGACCAUAUUAUUACGAAAUAUUCGAAACAUCUGUUUUAACGAGUUCAGUUUAUUUUCGUUGAUAAAUAACUAGAUUUUUAAAAGUUUUAUUAAAGAUUUUUAAAACGUUGAAUUUAUUUGUAUUAUUUCAUAAUAUCUGUAUCGUAUAACUUUCUCAAAUCGAUUAAUUGAAACGUAUAUAUUUAUUAGUCACAAGUUUGGCAUGGAGAUACGUAUGUGGUUUAUGAAGCAAAGAAUUUUGAUCAUUAUAAUUGCAAAUAUAGAUCGAUAAUUCUUUAUUAUAUAUUAAUUGUUUACAUUGCAUCAUUUUUGUAAUAUAUAAGAUAGUUAUAGGAUGAUUAAUAUCUUCAAAUUUUAUACAGAAAAUUAUUUUUAAUGUUCCUAAUUCUAAUUCUUAAUUCUAAAAAUUCAAUCAGUUUAUUUGCUUUACUUGUAACAAUAGAAAAGAAAAAGAAAAGAAGCAAAAUUAGAAAACUCGUAAAUAGAUAGUGAACAAAUAGAGAUUCUAUGCAAUUGUGAUUUAUUAUUAAUAUAUGAAAUUAUUAAUUUUAAUUUUAAUUUAUAAUUAAUUUAAAUUUUAUUUGCAAUGCAAUCGAUUAUAUAAUUAAUUUAUAUCAUCAUAGAUCGUAUAUAUUCUUUUUCUUCUUUUUCUUUUUUAUCACAGUAGAUCGCGAUACAUGAACGAUUUAAAAUCUUUCAAAUAUUAAAUAAUGAAAUAGACGGAUAAAUAAUUAAACGUUUAAAUAUUAUUAAUGUUUGAUUAAAACAUGUUUAAUUAAAUAUAUAAUUAAACAAAUAAUUAAACAUUUAAAUAUUAUACGUGUAUCUCAACAUAUCAAUCGUUUUCUUGGUAAAUCGUAGAAUGAAAGGGAACGGGGCUCUCGUAAAUCCAUCGUGUAUCGUUCGAAGCGUGAAAUCGAGGUAAAUCUUCGAAGGCAGAAGUCGCGACUAUUAAAUGGCACGAGGAAAGGCAGGCGUUCGCGACAAGAUCGUUUGUCACGUUGCUCGUCGACCCGACUCCUUUCAGCUUUUUACACCUCGACGAUGGCGACGAGCUCGAAUACAAGCGUCGACCAGAACGAAGAUGACAAGAGCUACGAUGCAUUUUCUCCUUGAGGAUUUGUUUUAACGGUAAAAAUUUAGAAACUGAUCUUCGCCGAGAACCGUUUUCCUUUUUAUUUGAUAUCUUCGAUUUUGCGAGAGAUAUAUUAAGAUAUAUUAAGCACGAGAAUUCAUCUUUUUUAUCUUUAUCUUUACACAUUCACAAUCAAAGAAUUUAAUUUUAUUCACAGUUUUGAAUGGACAAUUUAUUUUAUGAGAGUAAAAGAGAGAAAGAGAGAGAGAGAGAGAGAGAGAGAGAGAGAGAGAGAUAGCAAGUCGUUAAGUAUUAUUUAAAUUAAUAUAUUUCGUUCUUCUUUUAAAUUUAUUUUAUAUUCUUUUUUAAAAAUAAUUUACUGCGACCUAUCCUUUUUACUUGAAAUUUUACAAAUCGUUUAUAAUUCACUCACUUUUGUUUAUAUACGAAUUUGUUGUUUUAAGCCAAAAACAGUUUCCCUUUAGUUUAUCUCUCUUUGUUAGAAUCCGAAUUUGUUUAUUUAUUUCCGUCAUGAUAUCAGCCUCGUUCGUCAGUAUAUUUUAACUGUAUUUUAUUUAUUUCGUUUUAAACAAACUAAAGAUUCGUUUAAUCUUCUCACUAAGCUUCCAACACUAGUCAGUCCAUAAAUAUGAACAAUUCAUAAUAUUUUUUGUCAAAUAUUUACAAAUGGUAGUAGUGAUAUGAUAAACAAGUAAAAGGAUAUAUAAAAUAUUAUCGAUUAUUUUUGUUUAUUGUUUGAACCAAAACGAUCGAGCAGUGUUCCUUCAAUAUUUAUCUUUUCAACAGACAAAAAUCAAUCGGGGGUUAAAAAGCAAGUAAAUCCUUUUCCAAACAAUAUUAUUUAAUAUCUAUCUCGCACUUUCGUUUUAUUUACCAAUAACAUUAUUAUCAUAAAAAUCGAUAUUGUAAGGAUAGAGAAAAUCCGUCAGGAGACAUGAAAUAUCCAUUCACCCGUUUAAGCAAUCUUUCUCUCUCACCUCUUUUCCUCCUUCAUUGAUAUCGUCUUUCAAUUUCGUAUCUUGUGUCAUUCGUUCCUGAGCUAGGGGAAAUGAUAGCUGCAGAGAUUUCAAAGAUCUCUGGUACCGGACAUCCUCCUCCUUCACAACUUUUCGUACCUACCUCUUUGUUAAGUAGAUUUCAAUAUCCGACCAGGCAACAGUCUUUUCGUAUGUGACGUGUCAUACUAAGUCAAGAGGGAGAAAGAAAGAGCUAGAGAGAGAUAGAGAUAGAGCGAGAGAGAAAGAGAUAGAUAGAUAGAUAGAUAGAUAGAUAGAUAGAGAGAGAGAGAGAGAAAAAGAGAGAAAGAAAGAGAAAGAGAAAGAAAUCAGUCGACGGAGGAUGAGGAGCGUACUAGGAAGAAGUGAAGGUGUGGUGGAAAGAGGUAAAAAGGGCGACAGGAGGUGCAAUAUUCUUGGCUCGCAUUGUACGUGUCCCAUCGGUUGGCAGGCGAGCUCCCUCUCAGCGACAGCUUGACAGAACAUACGCUCCUUCCCCGCACGAAACCUCCCCUUUUCUCUCACCCUUAUUCUUUCUCACUUUCUACUUCCACACCUUUAUCCCUUUCUUUCUUUUUUCUUUCUUUUUUUAGAAUCCCCCUUUCUUCUUCUUCUUCCUCGUCUUCGUCUUAUUCUUACUUGAAACCUCAGUCCGUUUCAGUCUUCUUCUUCUUCUUCUUCUUCUUCUAGUUUCCCUCGUCUAUUUUCUCAGUCGUAGAAAAUAAAAGUUUAUAAGACGUCCGUGGUUGAGCGUUGUGCUACGCACGCCAUCGUGAUAUCGGAACUAUGGUUAUAGAAGGGAAAAAACCAAGAGGGAGGGUAAAGAGGGAGAUGAAAUGGAAACGAGAAAAGUGGGGACCACGUGCAGAAAUAACGUUCGUGUUUUUGAUUUGAAGCACGUAACCGAACCACAUUGAAAUCAGAUAGGGGCGCGAGAGAGGACGCUAAACUGGCUCCGAGGCUUGGAAAGCUUGCUACGAGAAUACCUAAAGCUGUGGGUGGAAGGAGCUUGAAAAGGAUGAGGAAGAGGAGGACGAGGAGGAGGAAGAGGAGCUUGCCGUAGGUGUGGAAGCAAGCGUUGCAUGCUACGAAGGAAAAUAAGAGAAGAUAGGUUUGGAAGUGAAGAGAGAGAGAGAGAGAGAGAGUAUAAAAAAAGGGUAGAAGUGGACGUUGCGUCCACCGUAACUCGAAGAGAUCAUCGAGGUGAAGGGAAAGGGAAGAAAAAGGAUCGAACAGCCGCCUUACGACGGCUGAAACCUGCCACUUUCUAGGAUUUUCGAAUAAAUCGGCGUUACUAGCAGCAUCCCGCUCUUCUUACGCUAUAACGGAGUCUACUUUGACCCAGACUUUUCUAACCCAUGUCUCUUUCUCUUUCUCUUCUUCUCAGUUUUCCUCUCUCUUUCUCUUUUCUCAACCUUAUCCAGAGUUUUCGUUCCGUAAUCCGGAUGGGACUGUUAGCUCCUUGAAAAACCAAUCGAAAUUCGUCGCUUCGUCCAAACAAUGCUCGAACUACGGAUUUUCUUGAAAGAAUCGAAACGAAAGAAAAGGUUUUAAAGAGAAAACUUGCUCCUGAACUUUUUCUUUCUCUUUCUUGAAUUUUGUUUUUCUUUUUUUUUCUCUCUUUAAUCUUUUUUUCUUUCUUCCUUUUUUUCUCUUUUGUUUUGUUUUCUUUUUUUUUCUUUUUUUUUUUUUUUUCAUUUUCUUGCAAUAAUUCCUUAAACAAGCGCGCAGAACAAAGUCGAGACAUAAACGAAUGCUAACGGGAUAGCGUUACACGCUCGUAUUCUCUUGACAAAAGCCGUAUUCUCUCCGCAAGAAUUUUUCCCCCGUUCUCUUCAUAUUCAUUUCACGUGUCUUUUUUCUUGCUUCUUUCUUCUUUUUUCUUUUUUCUUUUUUCUUCUUCUUUCUCUUCCUACCUUCGUCUCUCCCAUCCGUCGAGAUUACACGGACUUAAAGUCAACAGUCGAAGAAAUGACUUCGUAUAUAGUCUUCUUUAUACUCUACCUUGCUAGAGGUGUAUCUAGGAUUUUAUAUAUAUAUAUGUAUGUAUAUAUAUAUAUAUAAUAUGUAUAUUCGUGUGUAGGAUAAAUCGCUGAAAAUAUCGACUCGUUGAAAUUGAAAUGCGCUUUCCCUUCGCGGGAUAUCAAUUUAAAAAGAACGAAGAAGAAAAAAAGUAGAAGAAAUAGAAAAAGCUGACGAUAUAUCGUAGUUUUAGUUUUCUCUGAUGCUCUUUAAAGCGAUUAUCUUUUAUCGCAAUAUUCGUCAAUAGGUUUUUAACAAAACGCGAGAAAAUCGAUCCACACGUAGUUUCCUUGUAACCUAUGUAUAUUCCUCAUGAGAAUGGACAUGAUCGAACGUUCUAACUGUCUCUGGCAUUGAUAUCUUUGCCUCUUAAUAAUGCACAGCCAGUCAGCAUGCCAACAUUGACGUAUAACGCUUGAAAAUGUAUUAUGUAGUUAUCAUACAUGAAUAGUUAGAUAAUAUAUCAAUUUCACAUUGAUAUUGGUUGGAACAUUGAAUAGGCAUAAAACACGAGAUUUAAAGCGAACGUUUUAACAGGGUGAAUGCUAGUGUAAAAGUUAGCAAAUGCAUCCGCCAUUCAACUAGGUAGAUAUAGGGGUACAGAUAAAGGAGGUGAGAUCGCUGUUUCGAAAGUUUCCACAGUCUUAUCUGCGAGACACAUUACUUCUUACCAAAACUCCAAGCCGCUAUACCGAAUACGGGAGUUAGAAGAGAGGUGACAAAUUAUCUUUCCAAACACGGACUCCAACGCUAAAUGUUCGGCGUUAGGAACGAUCGCAAGUGCGAUUUACGCGUAUAACGAAACUAGGAUCUUCUUCUUGACUUUUCAUCCGGUCAAUUACGUGAAGGUUUUCAACUUUGAAAGAACGAUUGACGAGAUAAAAAAAAACAGGAAGAGAAAAAAUGAGAGAGAGAGAGGGGGGAAACAUAAUUUAUUUUCAUGAAAAAAGAUAGAAAGAGUUAUAACGUAGGAAAAUUAACAUGAGAAACUACUAUACUAUGAUACAGAAAUCAUUACUAUGGUAGUGCAAAGUAUAUAAAUACAUAUAUUAUAUAUAUAUAUAUAUAUAUAUAUAUAUAUAUAUGUAUGUGUGUAUGAAAAGUGUAUAGAUACAUAUAUAGAAAUAUAUCUACAUAAAAUAGAGGAAUAUAAUUUAUUUCCAUGAAAAUAACAUAGAAAGAGUUACAACGGGGUACCAUUAAUAUGAAAUACUACUAGAUAAUACAGAAAUCAUUACUACGACAGUGCAAACAAAUAUAUACAUACUUGUACAGGCAAACGUAUCUACAUAUAUAAAUAUACAAGUAACUACCUAUAUAGAUAUAUCAGGCGUUAAAUCAAGAAAUAAAGUUUAUCGAUAAGAAUUUUCCUUUGAAUGUAUUAAACAAAAAAAUUUAAUAGAAAGACAUACAGAACGUUAUAAUCGUAAAUUUAAAUUCGUCAUCGUUUUCGAGCUGUUAUCGCUUAGUUGGUUCUUUCUCAUCGUCAACGUUAUAGUCGAGCGUAUUCGUUCUCUCCGACUUCGUUCUCAUCGGUCGUCCCAACUUCGAACGCGAGUCGCGCCAUAUUUCAAAUGUCAUAUUAGCGAGGACCAUGCGUCUUCCACGAGUAAAAUGUCUAUGCUACUAGCGGGCCAGUCUGCAGCAUUGGCGGAUCGCAUGACGCGAGUUCCUCAUGGAGUAACGCAGGAUCGUGUCACCUUCCUGCUUCGCCACCAAUUACACAUUAAUGCGAUGUCGUGCUAUCUAGGGGAUAGGGUUUGCUGAAGAGGAAGGUAGACAGAUAGACAAAGUGAGAGAGAGAGAGAGAGAGAGAGGGAGAGAGAGAGAGAGAGAGAAUGUGAGGGAUAAGUAUCCUUCGGGAGUACACCCUCUUCCGAUAUGCGUAUAUUGCUCAAUUAACCUACUUUUCGUAGUUGUAAAAGAGCCACAAAGCUUGAUGAAAUAAACCUGGGGGUUAUCUUACGAUUUUGUUCGAACAAUAAAAGUAAUUAUCUUUAUUGAGUGAGGGAGCCUAAUAAUACCUACAAAUCGUUAUCGAUUAAACACGAUCGUUUUUGUUCGUAGGGUUGAUUAUUUAGGAAAGAAAGAGAGAGAGAGAGAAAUUUUGGUUGAUCACUUUCUAAGAAUUUUGUGUUUUUAUUACUAUAUACGUAUAUAGAUGAUUGUAUAAAAGAUCUAUAUGAUAGAUAAAUUUGUAAAGUAACGAAAUCCAAUAUUCUUUAUUAUAUCUCUAUUAAUUCAUACAGGUUUUAAUAUGAUUAAAUUUCGUAGAAUUAUGAGAUUAUACUGUAAGAUUGACUUUUAAUAAUUAAUUACGUUUACGGUAGAUCAUUAUAUUGUAUAAAUAUCGUUUGAAUAAAGUAUGUGUCAUAGAUACUAUAUUGAGUUCGAUCAUUAGUAUAAACAUUAAGUAUAAACAGUAUUAAUAUAAACAUUCAAGAUCAAAUGUAUAUGAGUAAUGGACAUUUAAAAACCAACGAAGGGCGAGAGUAGUGAUUCAUUUGCGUUGUGAAGCCUGAUAGUGUCGUAUCAAAGUCGUAUAAUUUCGUAACGUUUCAUUCAAUCACGAGGAAAGUGGUAUUUUAUUAAAUUAAUACUGGCAAUUUCAUAAUUUGUACAUUGAUAUAUAGACAAUAUUAAUAAAGGAUUGAUCUUUUUAAUUUAUA